GAACUGAAACAUCUAAGUACCCCGAGGAAAAGAAAUCAACCGAGAUUCCCCCAGUAGCGGCGAGCGAACGGGGAGCAGCCCAGAGCCUGAAUCAGUGUGUGUGUUAGUGGAAGCGUCUGGAAAGGCGUGCGAUACAGGGUGACAGCCCCGUACACAAAAAUGCACAUACUGUGAGCUCGAUGAGUAGGGCGGGACACGUGGUAUCCUGUCUGAAUAUGGGGGGGACCAUCCUCCAAGGCUAAAUACUCCUGACUGACCGAUAGUGAACCAGUACCGUGAGGGAAAGGCGAAAAGAACCCCGGCGAGGGGAGUGAAAAAGAACCUGAAACCGUGUACGUACAAGCA
rnacentral:rRNA from 1 species